rnacentral:rRNA from 1 species
UACAUGGGGUGCAAACGUUGCUCGGAAUUAUUGGGCGUAAAGCGCACGUGGGCGGUCCGUUAAGUCGGAUGUGAAAGCCCCCGGCUCAACCGGGGAAGUGCAUCCGAAACUGGCAGGCUAGAGUACGAAAGAGGGUCGCGGAAUUCCCGGUGUAGAGGUGAAAUUCGUAGAUAUCGGGAGGAACACCGGUGGCGAAGGCGGCGACCUGGGUCGAUACUGACGCUGAGGUGCGAAAGCGUGGGGAGCAAACAGG